AGGGUGGUAAAAUGAUGAAGCAGCUUCAAACUGAGUUGCUACUUUGGUUUCAAGCACUUGACGAGGAUUGCUGCGAAUGUCCUGUACAUAUGGUGCUUCAGGUACAUGUUUUGUACCUUAAGCCUCCCCCUUGCUCCCAUCUUCUUCCUCACUGUUUGAUUGUUCUGCAAAUACUGAAUAUUCUCAGCGAGGCUCAUUACUCCUUCGCGCCCUAA
rnacentral:misc_RNA from 1 species